rnacentral:rRNA from 1 species
AACGGCCGCGGGAUCUUACACCGUGCAAAGGUAGCAUAAUCACUUGUCAUCUAAAUAAUGACUAGUAUGAAUGGCCCUAUGAGGACUUCCCUGUCUCUUAUAACCAAUCAAUGAAACUGAUCUCCCAGUACAAAAGCUGGGAUAAUAACACAAGACGAAAAGACCCUGUGGAACUUCCAAGUGUUAAUCAACAACAUGACACAAUCACUUUUAGUUGGGGCAACUUUGGAACAAAAUAAAACUUCCAAUUAAAGUUAUACCACUUUAACUAAAAACUAGGUCCACACACCAAUCUUUUAACUUACACCGACCCAGUACUACUGAUAAAAGAAACAAGCUACCCCAGGGAUAACAGCGCCAUCCCCUCUUAGAGCCCAAAUCGACGAGCGGGGCUUACGACCUCGAUGUUGGAUCAGGGCCCCCAAACAGUGCAGCAGCUGUUAAAGGUUUGUUUGUUCAACAAUUAAUG